rnacentral:rRNA from 1 species
UACGUAGGGGCCUAGCGUUGUCCGGAUUUAUUGGGCGUAAAGAGCGUGUAGGCGGCCAGACAGGUCCGUUGUGAAAACUCGAGGCUCAACCUCGAGACGCCGAUGGAAACCGUCUGGCUAGAGUCCGGAAGAGGAGAGUGGAAUUCCUGGUGUAGCGGUGAAAUGCGCAGAUAUCAGGAGGAACACCGGUGGCGAAGGCGGGUCUCUGGGCCGAUACUGACGCUGAGGAGCGAAAGCGUGGGGAGCGAACAGG